AUUGAACGCUGGCGGCAGGCUUAACACAUGCAAGUCGAGCGAGCGGCGGACGGGUGAGUAACGUCUGGGAACCUGCCUGAUGGAGGGGGAUAACUACUGGAAACGGUAGCUAAUACCGCAUACCAUCAGAUUUGCCCAGCUGGGUUUAGCUAGUAGGUGGGGUAAUGGCUCACCUAGGCGACGGUCCGUAGCUGGUCUGAGAGGAGGACCAGCGACACUGGAACUGAGACACGGUCCAGACUCCUACGGGAGGCAGCAGGGGGGAAUAUUGGACAAUGGGCGCAAGCCUGAUGCAGCCAUGCCGCGUGUGGGAAGAAGGCCUUCGGGUUGUAAAGCACUUUCAGCGAGGAGGCGUUACUCGCAGAAGAAGCACCGGCUAACUCCGUGCCAGCAGCCGCGGUAAUAC
rnacentral:rRNA from 1 species